rnacentral:misc_RNA from 1 species
GAUGAAGAACGCAGCGAAAUGCGAUAAGUAGUGUGAAUUGCAGAAUUCAGUGAAUCAUCGAAUCUUUGAACGCACAUUGCGCCCUUUGGUAUUCCAAAGGGCAUGCCUGUUCGAGCGUCAUUUGUACCCUCAAGCUUUGCUUGGUGUUGGGCGUCUUGUCUCUAGCUUUGCUGGAGACUCGCCUUAAAGUAAUUGGCAGCCGGCCUACUGGUUUCGGAGCGCAGCACAAGUCGCACUCUCUAUCAGCAAAGGUCUAGCAUCCAUUAAGCCUUUUUUUCAACUUUUGUCCUCGGAUCAGGUAGGGAUACCCGCUGAACUUAAGCAUAUCAAUAAGCGGAGGA